AUUGAACGCUGGCGGAAUGCUUUACACAUGCAAGUCGAACGGCAGCACGGACUUCGGUCUGGUGGCGAGUGGCGAACGGGUGAGUAAUGUAUCGGAACGUGCCCAGUCGUGGGGGAUAACGUAGUGAAAAUUACGCUAAUACAGCAUACGAUCUAUGGAUGAAAGCGGGGGAUCGCAAGAUCUCGCGCGAUUGGAGCGGCCGAUAUCAGAUUAGGUAGUUGGUGGGGUAAAGGCCCACCAAGCCAACGAACGGUAGUGGGUCUCAGAGGACGACCAGCCACGCUGGAACGGAGCCCCGGUCCAGACUCCUACGGGAGGCAGAAGUGGGGAAUUUUGGACAAUGGGCGAAAGCCUUAUCCAGCCAUUCCGCGUGCAGGAUGAAGGCCCUCGGGUUGUAAACUGCUUUUGUACAGAACGAAAAGGUUUCUACUAAUACUAGGAGCUCAUGACGGUACUGUAAGAAUAAGCACCGGCUAACUACGUGCCAGCCGCCGCCGUAA
rnacentral:rRNA from 1 species